GGAUCAAAUACUAGGGGUUUCUUAUGCAACCCUUCCAGUUUUUGUGUGUGUGUGUUUGAGUCUUCCUGCCCUAGUUUGUAAUCUGUCAAAACCGAACCACCCCAAAUUCAUCUUCAACCGAACAAAUUCAUCAACAUCAGGAAUUCAUAUAAAAUCCUGAAAGAAACAUGUAUGGAAGAAAUCGUGGGCCUCCACUUCCAAUGGAUGGUAUGCCACACAGUGGAAUGCCCCCUGGUCGAGAACCUCCCAUUGGUAGAGGACUUGGCCCGAUUCCCCAUCCUGCAAUGCUUGAAGAAAUGAGAGAAAUUCAAGCAGCGAGAGAGUCCCAGUUUGGCAUGGGGCCCAGACAACUCCCUCCUCACCCAGCGAUCAUCGAGGAGCGACUUGCACUUCAACAUCAGGAUCUUCAAGUUUUUUUGGUUGAUAAUCAGAGGCUAGCGGCGACCCAUGUGGCACUAAAGCAGGAACUAGAAGCUGCCCAUCAUGAGCUCCAGCGGACAGCCCACUUUGCCAGUUCGUUGCAUGCGGAGAAGGAUAUGCAGAUGAGGGAACUAUAUGAGAAGUCUGUCAAAAUGGAAAUGGAACUCGGAGGGGCCCAGGCUAUGAAGGCGGAGCUACAGCAAGUUAAAGCUGAUACGAAGGAGCUAACUGCUGCAAAGCAAGAGCUUACAGCUCAGGUCCAAGGAAUGAAUCAGGAAUUAGCCAGGGUUACUGCAGAUAUACAACAGGCCCCAGCCCUCAUGGCAGAAAUUGAAGCUCUGAAACAGGAGUUACACCGGGCAAGGGCUGCCAUCGAGUAUGAGAAGAAGGGAUAUGCAGAGAACUAUGAACAUGGUCAGGUGAUGGAGAGGCAGUUGGUCGCAAUGGCUAGGGAGUUGGAAAAACUUCGUGCAGAAAUGGCUAAUGCAGAGAAGAGAGCCCGUGCUGCUGCUGCUGUAGGAAAUCAAGGUUAUAGUGGAAAUUAUGGCAACCCUGAAGCUGGAUAUGCGGCAAAUCCUUAUCAGGCCAGUUAUGGGGGGAAUCCCAUGAAUCCCGUACAGGCUGGUGCUGAAAACUAUCCUCCAUAUGGACCUGGACCUGGUUCUUGGGGUGCUUACGAUAUGCAGCGAGCUCCAGGACAGAGAUAGAUUAGUGACCUGUCAUGCUGAGCUGUGUGGACUAUCACUUGGCUUUUGGGCGCUGGUGGCCUGGUUGCAACCUAAGGGCUCCAAAACAGAAAUCCGCUUCCAUUUUGCACCAAGAGCUGCACCCAAUGGUUGGCAUCCCGUGAUCAGUACAUGGAGGAAAUGUGUUUCAUGGUAUAUAGCAAAUUUGAUUAAGGUUCAUUUAUGUGGAUCCCUAUUCCCUAGUCCCUAGUAUGGUUAGGCCUUAUUGAAUUGCUCAGAUCUAUAUGGAUACUAGUGGCUAUGAUGAAUUUGGCUCAAGGAAAGUUGAUAUAUGGACUUCCAACUUCAUUGCGCAGAUAGCGGUUUGUUGGAAAUGUGCCUGUCUCGGAAAAGGGAGAUAUAUUGGCAGUUCCUAUCUGGAAUUCGGUACAAGUUUGGGUUGGGUUGGGUUGGCAUGUAAUGGAACUGAGUCAAGCAUAUGGGUAGAUGGCUACAGGUUUUGCUGAGCUUUAUCCAGCCUAAAGUUUCCACAUACCCUUGCAAUGCCACUUGAGAGCUUUGCUAGGGUUUUCAAUGUCCUGGUUCUCGUAGUAAAGAGACUCAUAGUACGAGUUUCCUUAAUAUUCCGAAUAAGUUUUGCAGUAGGAUUUGAUCAGAUUAUAUUACAUGAAUUGAUCAAACAGUUGUCUUUUUUGACCCAACUAGUCAUAUUAGAUCUCUCCGUCGGAGGAUGUUUCUCUGUGU